rnacentral:misc_RNA from 1 species
GACGUCGAGAGUUCAGUCUUCCCAGGCCCACCACUUUCUCGAGUGAGCAUUCGUCUUCUGGUUACGGGGCCAUAGCUCAGCUGGGAGAGCGCGUGCUUUGCAAGCAUGAGGUCGUCGGUUCGAUCCCGUCUGGCUCCACCAGAUGGUUUGAUCACCGAGAUCUUGACCGUCGUCCGCGAAACAUCACUUCGCAUCCUGCUAGUCUGGAUAGACAGCAGUUUGCGUGUUUUCUGACAUCGUAAAGAGGAGAUCGAUCCGAGUUGGGUCGUGCAGCAUAUCGUUGCGCGAGCCUUCAUUAUCUCCGGAUCAUUUCGGCGCUCGCUUCCAGCCGUGAGGUUGGAUGCGGGUUGUAAAUGAUCCUUUUAGCGAAGCUUGACCGCCUCGCUAUCGGAACGAUCUUACGAAGCAAGCUGGUCUUUCUAGUCAAUGUCCGGCUGCGGAUAGCGUUCAUCGAGGGCGCGUGCCGCAAGGCAAUUCUGCAGACAACAUUCUGCCGAGUGUGUGGACAUUGAUAAUGAGAGCAAUCAAGUGCCUUAAGGGUGUUCGGUGGAUGCCUUGGCGCUGAGAGGCGAUGAAGGACGUGCUACGCUGCGAUAAGCCGUGGGGAGCUGCGAAGAAGCUUUGAUCCGCGGAUUUCCGAUGG